UACGUAGGGUGCAAGCGUUAAUCGGAAUUACUGGGCGUAAAGCGUGCGCAGGCGGCUUUGCAAGACAGAUGUGAAAUCCCCGGGCUCAACCUGUGAAUGCCGCUGGAAACUGUCUGGCUAGAGUCCGGAAGGGGCGAGUGGAAUUCCUGGUGUAGCGGUGAAAUGCGCAGAUAUCAGGAGGAACACCUAUGGCGAAGGCAGCUCGCUGGGACGGUACUGACGCUGAGGCGCGAAAGCGUGGGGAGCAAACAGG
rnacentral:rRNA from 1 species